rnacentral:RNase_P_RNA from 1 species
AAAGCCGAUCAGACAACCGCUGCCACGCAGGCCCCCUCGGGGGCAUAAAUGGGAGAGGAAAGUCCGGGCUCCACAGAGCAGGAUGCCGGCUAACGGCCGGACGCCGCGAGGCGAGGAAUAGGGCCACAGAGACGAGCGUAUUAAGUUACGGUGAAACGCGGUAACCUCCAUCCGGAGCAACACCAAAUAGGCAGGCGAUGAAGCGG